rnacentral:lncRNA from 1 species
CGUGCUCUAAACGUCACAAGAAGAUUUCGCUGCUGUAAAACAAGACAACAGAUGAGAACUAAUGGUAGAGAGAAGCUAACAAGCAAGAAGCUUAUCUUGCUGGACGAAAAUAGAAGCAUCAGGAUUUGGAGUGAGAAUGCCAUCCGGAGAGGAGAUGAAUCGAGUCGGAGCAGGUAACGUCCCUUCCAAAUAUCUGAGUAACUCGUAUCCCUCAACUAUUAGCCGUAUAUGCUGCUGCCAUUGUACAAAACUGCCUUAAUCCAAUUUCACCAUGUCAUGCCUAGGAAAAGUCUGAACUAAUCGAACGUUAGAGAGUGCGGGACUGCCACGAUCAGAGUAGUAGAGUCAGCGAAAUUUGCCAUGGACGCAGUGAGAAGAACCUCCAGGAACGUUAGGCGACUGAUGCCAUGUUAGUAAGUAUAGAAAUGAAGAAAUUCAAAAGGAGAAAUACAAAAUAAAUGUGAAUUAAAC